UGGGGAAUUUUGGACAAUGGGCGAAAGCCUGAUCCAGCAAUGCCGCGUGUGUGAAGAAGGCCUUCGGGUUGUAAAGCACUUUUGUCCGGAAAGAAAUCCUUUGGCUCUAAAUACAGUCGGGGGAUACGGUACCGGAAGAAUAAGCACCGGCUAACUACGUGCCAGCAGCCGCGGUAAUACGUAGGGUGCAAGCGUUAAUCGGAAUUACUGGGCGUAAAGCGUGCGCAGGCGGUUUUGCUAAGACCGAUGUGAAAAUCCCCGGGCUAACCUGGGAACUGCAUUGGUGACUGGCAGGCUAGAGUAUGGCANAGGGGGGUAGAAUUCCACGUGUAGCAGUGAAAUGCGUAGAGAUGUGGAGGAAUACGAUGGCGAAGGCAGCCCCCUGGGCCAAGUACUGACGCUCAUGCACGAAAGCGUGGGGAGCAAAACAGGAUUAGUACCCUGGUAGU
rnacentral:rRNA from 1 species